rnacentral:rRNA from 1 species
AUGUAUUGUGGCAAGUCUUGUGAUGCAACAAUUGUGCUUGAGGCCGUAACAUCCGAGGAUUUAUGGAUUUGGCAUUGCUUCUUUGGUAUGCCUGGCACUCUCAAUGAUAUCAAUGUGUUGCAACGGUCUUAUUUGUUUGCUAGGCUUGCUAGUGGUGAUGCUCCUGCUUGCAACUACACUAUCAAUGGGCAUGAAUACACAAAAGGGUACUAUCUUGCAGAUGGUAUAUACCCUCCUUGA